rnacentral:siRNA from 1 species
AGAGUAGUUCCUGGAGGCCGCA